AUUGAACGCUGGCGGCAUGCCUUACACAUGCGAGUCGAACGGUAACGGGCCUUCGGGUGCCGACGAGUGGCGAACGGGUGAGUAAUACAUCGGAACGUGCCCGAUCGUGGGGGAUAACGAGGCGAAAGCUUUGCUAAUACCGCAUACGAUCUACGGAUGAAAGCCGGGGACCGCAAGGCCUUGCGCGGGCGGAGCGGCCGAUGGCAGAUUAGGUAGUUGGUGGGAUAAAAGCUUACCAAGCCGACGAUCUGUAGCUGGUCUGAGAGGAUGAUCAGCCACACUGGGACUGAGACACGGCCCAGACUCCUACGGGAGGCAGCAGUGGGGAAUUUUGGACAAUGGGCGCAAGCCUGAUCCAGCCAUGCCGCGUGCAGGAUGAAGGCCUUCGGGUUGUAAACUGCUUUUGUACGGAACGAAAAGCCUUCUUUUAAUACAGGAGGGUCAUGACGGUACCGUAAGAAUAAGCACCGGCUAACUACGUG
rnacentral:rRNA from 1 species